GUGUUCGCUUUGGCAGCACAUAUUCUAAAACUGAAACAAUAAAGAGAAGAUUAACAUGGCCCCUAAGCAAAGAUAACAUGCAAAUUUGUGAUGCAUUCCGUAUUUUU
rnacentral:snRNA from 1 species